rnacentral:misc_RNA from 1 species
AGCAGGAGGAACGAGAUGGCUACUGGAAAAUGAUGCAGAAGUACAUAGGCUCAGAUGUUACAUCUAUGGUGACACUUCCUGUCAUUAUUUUUGAGCCAAUGACCAUGCUUCAAAAAAUGGCAGAGUUGAUGGAAUACUCCUACUUGUUAGAUCUAGCGGAUGAAUGCGAGGAUCCUUACAUCCGUUUGGUGUAUGCUUCGUCAUGGGCUAU